rnacentral:lncRNA from 1 species
ACAACACUCAAGGAGAUCGAUUAAUUAUAUACAAAAUGAAAUGAUCACAAGUGUGGGUAGAGUGGUGAUUCGAAACUCUAUCUGAAAAUUAUAUUAAUAGGUGUGCUUGCAUUGACAGUAAUUUAUUCUAAUGAAUAUCUCAUACCGCAAUUAUAUGUUCGAGCUACCUAAUGUUCCUUCAGGUAUGUACAUUUUAUUUUACUUGAUUUGAAAAUGUUCAAGUGGUCAUGAGGAACAAGAACCAAAAUAAAAUUUGGAUAUGCACAUAUAUAAGUCGUAAUUUAGAAUAUGCAUCUGCUGAUAUUUGUAUAUAAUUUAUGCACCAUUAGAACUUUGAAUGCUUCUUAUAAUAUUGAGUUAACAAGAUUGUUUGUUCCUAUUAGAAAUAUGACCGCUACAUUUGAUAAUAUUUAUGAUUAAAGUGCAUAAACCUCCUUAGUCGUAUUUUUAAUCCAAACAAAAAGUUUUUUCAUGAAUGAUGUGUUUAAUAUUUUAGCUAAUGCACAUAGAUUUUGAAACUCGAUUGUUAAUAUGCUUUUUGUUGUCAAAUUGUUGCUGUUAGUUUUGAUGAAUUUGUUUUGUUAAGAAUUUGAUAGCAUGAACCUUUUCUAUGUCAGUAACAUAGAUUCUCUUUUAGUUACUUCACUGAUUUGAAAUUUUGGAGAUAAAUGAACCUUAUUAUUAUUAAUUUGGUUUAUAUUAUAGUGACAAGAGUAUCACUAGUUCCAUCAAAUUGAGAAUGGUCUUAGUACCAUAGUCUCUGAAUGGUCUUAGUACCAUA